AAUAGAUACCCGGUAGUCCACGCCGUAAACGAUGAGUGCUAAGUGUUAGAGGGUUUCCACCCUUUAGUGCUGCAGCUAACGCAUUAAGCACUCCGCCUGGGGGAGUACGGCCGCAAGGCUGAAACUCAAAGGAAUUGACGGGGGGCCCGCACAAGCGGUGGAGCAUGUGGUUUAAUUCGAAGCAACGCGAAGAACCUUACCAGGUCUUGACAUCCUCUGCCAACCCUAGAGAUAGGGCGUUCCCCUUCGGGGGACAGAGUGACAGGUGGUGCAUGGUUGUCGUCAGCUCGUGUCGUGAGAUGUUGGGUUAAGUCCCGCAACGAGCGCAACCCUUGAUCUUAGUUGCCAGCAUUCAGUUGGGCACUCUAAGGUGACUGCCGGUGACAAACCGGAGGAAGGUGGGGAUGACGUCAAAUCAUCAUGCCCCUUAUGACCUGGGCUACACACGUGCUACAAUGGAUGGUACAAAGAGCUGCGAACCCGCGAGGGUAAGCGAAUCUCAUAAAGCCAUUCUCAGUUCGGAUUGUAGG
rnacentral:rRNA from 1 species